rnacentral:tRNA from 1 species
GGGCCAUUAGUUUAAUGGUAAAACAUUUGUCUAUCACACAAAAGUCCCGGGUUCGAUUCUCGGUUGGUCCA